GACGAACGCUGGCGGCGUGCCUAAUACAUGCAAGUCGAGCGAAGUUUUUCUGGUGCUUGCACCGGAAAAACUUAGCGGCGAACGGGUGAGUAACACGUAAAGACCCUCCCUCAUAGACUGGGACAACUAUUGGAAACGAUAGCUAAUACCGGAUAAUAGCAUUAACUGCAUGGUUGAUGUUUAAAAGUUGGUUUUACUAACACUAUGAGAUGGCUUUGCUGUGCAUUAGCUAGUUGGUGGGGUAAAGGCCUACCAAGGCGACGAUGCAUAGCCGACCUGAGAGGGUGAUCGGCCACACUGGGACUGAGACACGGCCCAGACUCCUACGGGAGGCAGCAGUAGGGAAUCUUCCGCAAUGGGCGAAAGCCUGACGGAGCAACGCCGCGUGAGUGAAGAAGGAUUUCGGUUCGUAAAGCUCUGUUGUUAGGGAAGAAUGGUUGUGUAGUAACUAUACACAGUAGAGACGGUACCUAACCAGAAAGCCACGGCUAACUACGUG
rnacentral:rRNA from 1 species